rnacentral:lncRNA from 1 species
ACGGUGGGGUGCGGAGUCACCCCCCCCGGGUGGCGCAGUGGGGUGCGGAGUCACCUGCCCGGGUGGCGCAGUGGGGUGCGGAGUCACCUCCCCGGGUGGCGCGGUGGGGUGCGGAGUCACCCCCCCCGGGUGGCGCAGUGGGGUGCGGAGUCACCUGCCCGGGUGGCACGGUGGGGUGCGGAGUCACCCCCCCCGGGUGGCGCAGUGGGGUGCGGAGUCACCCCCCCUGGAUGGCACGGUGGGGCGCGGAGUCACCUGCCCGGGUGGCACGGUGGGGUGCGGAGCUGCCCCCCCCCCGGGUGGCGCGGGGCCAAGUUUCAUUUACGGAGAAACGAAAGUGACGGAGGGAGCGCGGCGGCUGCCCGGCCCAGCUCCUGCCUCCCGCACCCCGACACUCGCCCGCGGGUGCCGCUGGCCCCAGCCGAGGGCGGAAGGCGCCGGCCGCCAGCGAAGGUCUCCUGCGCUUCCCGGGGGACCCUUCGGGCAGGGGAGGGCAGGAGCGCCGGGGCCGGGGGGCCUUUCGCGUCCCGGGGGCACCUUGAGGUGGGAGCUCGCCCGGGCGAGGCUGGUAGCCCCGGGGCUGGGCUGCGGCAGUCCGGGAACCGGGCGUCUUCGUUAAAUGCCGUAGGCUUCGGACGCGGUGGCUGGAGARCUGCAGGCGGGGCGGGCCUCAGGCUUCCUCACCUCUGCCGGGUGAGUCCUGUUACUGGAGGUAUCUUCAUCCGCACCGGGGGCUCCGGCGAGCCCCGGGGGCGGCAGCGGGUGCCGCGAGAGCGGUGCGGCCGGACGGUCCCUCCYGAGGGCCGUGCACCUCCCCGGGGGCCCCCGGCCUUGGCGAUCCCACCCUYGCUGCAUGGCACCCGCCCCGGCCGUGCCAAGGCCGUGCCAAGGCGGCCUCCGCGGGCGGACGGGCCCUGGGGACAGGAAACGUCCCCGGACCCCGGCUGCCGGAGCAGGUGGAUGAGCCCCGGGGCAAGCGGCCGUCCCGCGCGUCCUGUCCCCGGGACGGGGAUGUGCAGCCGGCCGCCUCCACCGCAUGUCGGGGCUCCUCCUGCAGAGCGGUGA